UCUUGGUCAUUUAGAGGAAGUAAAAGUCGUAACAAGGUUUCCGUAGGUGAACCUGCGGAAGGAUCAUUAUUGAGUUUUGAAGUGGGCUUGAUGCUGGCAUCUUCACCGAUGCAUGUGCUCAGCCCCGCUCUCAAAUCCACUCAACACCUGUGCACUUUCAAAGCUGUAGUCCUCCGUAACUGGAGCCGCGGGUCAGUAAUGACCUGCUGGGAUUGCGCUUUGCCCUUUAUCACAAACUAUAUGCAUUGUCUUGUAGAAUGUAUUAGCCUCGUAGUGGGCGAAACUUAAUACAACUUUCAACAACGGAUCUCUUGGCUCUCGCAUCGAUGAAGAACGCAGCGAAAUGCGAUAAGUAAUGUGAAUUGCAGAAUUCAGUGAAUCAUCGAAUCUUUGAACGCACCUUGCGCUCCUUGGUAUUCCGAGGAGCAUGCCUGUUUGAGUGUCGUGAAAUUAUCAAACUCCCUUUCUUUGUUGAAAGGUGAGCUUGGACUUGGGGAUUUGCUGGUUUCAAUCAGCUUCCCUUGAAUGCAUUAGCUGGACUUUGAUUUGCAGCAUAUAUGCGGUGUGAUAAUGUCGUCACUGUGUAGCUCAAGUCGUUUGGCUUCUAAUCGUCCUUUCACGAGGACAAUCUGAUCAAUUAGACCUCAAAUCAGGUAGGACUACCCGCUGAACUUAAGCAUAUCAAUA
rnacentral:rRNA from 1 species